AUCCUAAUAACAAAAAAUCUAUCAACACUCACCUCCUUUUGAACAAACAACAAACCCUAGUCUUUCAAACCACAAAUACAAUGACCAUCACUUCAUUCUCUCCCUCCAAUGGCCGAAUUAACCAAACCCCAUCUCCCAAAACACCUACUCAAACUCCUCAAAUCCGAAAAAGACCCACUUUCAGCUCUUUCCCUCUUCCACACCGCCCUCCGCAACCCUAGUUACACCCCCACCCCCGCCGUAUUCCACCACAUCCUCCACCGUAUCUCCCAACACCCUAAACUCCUUCCCCAAAUCCCCCAAAUUUUACACUCAAUCCACACCCACAAAUGCAUUUGUUCAGAAGAUAUCCCAUUGAUUGUCAUCAAAGCAUAUGCAAACAAUCACAUGGUUGAUCCUGCGUUGGAUCUUUUUCAAAGAAUGAGUGAAGUAUUCGGGUGUGAACCCGGUGUAAGAUCUUACAACACUCUGCUGAACGCAUUGGCUGAAUCUAAUCAGUUUACUCGUGCUGAUUUGUUCUUUAGGAGCUUUAGAAAGAUGGGUGUGUUCCCCAAUUUGGAAAGUUAUAAUAUUGUGAUCAAGAUUUUGUGUAAGCGGAAGCGGUUUCGGAGAGCGAACGAGAUGUUGAAUUGGAUGUUUGGGAAAAGGGUGUUUCCUGAUGUAGUUAGUUAUGGGACUUUGAUUAGUGGGUUGGUGAAAAAUGGUGAGAUGAGUAGUGCAGUUAAGGUGUUUGAUGAAAUGCUUGAGAGAGGUGUGGUUCCAGAUGUGAUGUGUUAUAAUGUUUUGAUUGAUGGGUUUUUUAAGGAAGGUGAUUUUGGUAAAGCUUGUGAGGUGUGGGAAAGGUUGGUGAAGUCAACCUUUGUGUAUCCGGAUGUUGGUACGUAUAACGUUAUGAUUGCGGGUUUUUGUAAGUGUGGGAAGUAUGAAGAAAGUUUGAAAAUUUGGUACCGAAUGAAGGAAAACGAACGCGAAAUGGAUUUGUUUACGUAUAGCGUGGUUAUUAAUUUGUUUUGUGAGUCGGGUAAUGUUGAAGGUGGUAUUACAGUUUUUAGGGAAAUGAUUGCGAAAAAGGUGUCUCCCGAUGUCGCAGUAUACAAUUCAUUGCUUAAUGGGUAUUGUCGUGCUGGAAUGAUUAACGACUGCUUCGAUUUGUGGGAUUUGAUGGAGAAGAACGAUUGCAGGAACGUUGUUAGUUUCAACAUUUUGAUUAAAGGGUUAUUUGAUAAUAGGAACGUUGAUAAGGCGAUUUCUUUGUGGCAGCAAUUGCACGAAAACAAAUCCUUUGUAAAUUCGACUACUUACGGUAUUUUGAUUCACGGAUUAUGCCAAAACGGGUACGUAGAUAAGGCCUUUUCUCUCCUCAAAGACGCAGAAGAAAAAUGUAGCAAUCUCGAUGUUUAUGCAUUUUCCUCGAUGAUCAAUGGAUUUUGUAACGUUGGGCGGUUGAGCGAUGCCGUUAGUAUGCUAGAUCACAUGGUUAAGAACGGAUAUAAUCCAAACACAAAUGUCUGUAAUACAAUAAUCAAAGGGUUAAUUCAAGCUCGCAAAAUUAACGAUGCCGCCAACCUCUUGGAUAAAAUGGCGACAAUGGGUUGUUCACCGACUAUUGUUACUUACAAUACCCUAAUCAACGGGUUAUGCAAAUCACAUAGAUUCGAUGAAGCUUAUAUUCUUGUUCGAGAAAUGCUCGAAAAGGGAUUAACGCCCGAUACGAUCACUAAUAGCGUGUUAAUGCGUGGUUUAUGUCAAGACAAGAAGGUUGACAUGGCUCUGAAAUUGUGGGACCAGGUUGUCGAUAACGGUUUUAAACAUGAUGUAAUUAUGUACAAUAUCGUUAUUCACGGGCUUUGUUCGAUAGGAAACGUUGAAUAUGCGUUGGAGUUGUAUUUAAAGAUGAGUGAAAAUAAAUGUUUGCCGAAUCUUGUUACGCUCAACACGUUAAUGGAGGGAUUUUACAAAGUUAGAGAUUGUCUAAAUGCGUCAAUGAUUUGGGGUCGAAUUUUGAAAAGUGGGUUUCGUCCUGAUAUUAUUUCGUAUAAUAUUGCUCUUAAAGGGUUAUGUUGUUGCAAAAAGAUACCAGAAGCUACUUAUUAUUUGAAUGAUGCGGUUGGUAAGGAGAUUAUACCAACUGCAGUUACUUGGAACAUACUCGUGAGGGCGGUAUUACAUUCACGACCAAUGAUGCAUAACGUUGAUGUCAAAUAUGUUUAAAGUCAAUUGCGUAAUCAAACCAACCAAAAUCAAACCGAGAAUCACACCUUUUCUCCAAUCAAAAGACGGAGAUAUAACGGAGUCGAUCAAAGAGAUGCUAACCAGUCCGAUCAAUGCAAGGGCCCAUGGUGCAUCGAGGUUCCCCGACAAAUUUACUUAUGAGCGGGUCGCAGAAACUUAAAAAGUUACACAAAAAGUACUUGGGUUGGGUGUAACACAACCCGAGCCAGCCCGUUAUGUCUCAAUACUAUGAAUUAAAGGGUGGUAGGAUAUUAACAAACCCGUGCACUGGCUUCUUCAAGUUCUUUGAGAGCGUUUUCGCCAACUUGGUCAAACUCUACAUUGGCUUCUUCCGCAAACUUGGUCAAGUAUUCGGAUCGUUCAUCUAAAUAAUCGGUGAGACGGACCUUUUGGGCUUGAAGCAUUGCAAUUUUUGCCAAUAUUUCUUGUCUUCUGGCAUCACCUUCCGGGGAUGAUGGGGCAUUUGUAUCGGGAUCUUUUGAUUUGCAGAUGAAGAACCUUUUUUGAUAGUUGUUGAUGGUGAGUAAAUGAGUUUUGUGAAAGAAUUCAUGUUUUGUGGUGGUGAAAGUUGUUUGUAUGGUUUGAAAUGAAAUCAUGGUGAUGCUCUGUUUCUGUUUGGUUAGGGUACAGAGGAUGGUUUUUGAACCUCUUAUCACUGGUGCAUUAUCUUGUUUUGCUGUCAAGUUAUAUUCCAGAUGUUGUAGGCUUACUUUGUUGUACCUCAUGGAUUGGAAAGUGUAAGUUAGUUUGGACAUGGUAUUUGUUUAUCUGGAAAAAGGACCUUUAUCCUAUUA